GACGAACGCUGGCGGCGUGCCUAACACAUGCAAGUCGAGCGAAUGAAGUUCCUUCGGGAACGGAUUUAGCGGCGGACGGGUGAGUAACACGUGGGCAACCUGCCUCAUAGAGGGGAAUAGCCUUCCGAAAGGGAGAUUAAUACCGCAUAAGAUUGUAGUACCGCAUGGUACAGCAAUUAAAGGAGCAAUCCGCUAUGAGAUGGGCCCGCGGAGCAUUAGCUAGUUGGUGAGCUAACGGCUCACCCAGGCGACGAUGCGUAGCCGACCUGCGAGGGUGAUCGUCCACAGUGGGACUGAGACACGGCCCAGACUCCUACUGGAGGCAGCAGUGGGGAAUAUUGCACAAUGGGGGAAACCCUGAUGCACCAUCGCCGCGUGAAUGAUUACGGCCUUCGGGUUGUAAAGCUCUGUCUUCAGGGACGAUACUGACGGUACCUGAGGAGGAAGCCACGGCUAACUACGUGCCAGCCGCCGCAGUAAGAC
rnacentral:rRNA from 1 species